rnacentral:rRNA from 1 species
UACGAAGGGAGCUAGCGUUGUCCGGAUUCAUUGGGCGUAAAGAGCACGCAGGCGGUUUGGCAAGUCGGAUGUGAAAACCCGAAGCUCAACUUCGGGCCUGCAUCCGAAACUGCCCGACUAGAGGUAGGUAGGGGAGAUCGGAAUUCCUGGUGUAGCGGUGAAAUGCGCAGAUAUCAGGAGGAACACUGGUGGCGAAGGCGGAUCUCUGGGCCGACACUGACGCUGAUGCGCGAAAGCCAGGGGAGCGAACGGG